UGGGGAAUCUUGCGCAAUGGGCGAAAGCCUGACGCAGCGACGCCGCGUGGGGGAUGAAGGCCUUCGGGUUGUAAACCCCUUUCACCACCGACGAAGCCUUCGGGUGACGGUAGGUGGGGGAAGAAGCGCCGGCUAACUACGUGCCAGCAGCCGCGGUAAUACGUAGGGCGCGAGCGUUGUCCGGAUUUACUGGGCGUAAAGGGCUCGUAGGCGGUCCGUCGCGUCGGCUGUGAAAGACCGCAGCUCAACUGCGGAAACGCAGUCGAUACGGGCGGACUAGAGGACGGUAGAGGCAAGCGGAAUUCCUGGUGUAGCGGUGAAAUGCGCAGAUAUCAGGAGGAACACCGAUGGCGAAGGCGGCUUGCUGGGCCGUUCCUGACGCUGAGGAGCGAAAGCGUGGGGAGCGAACGAGGAUUAGAUACCC
rnacentral:rRNA from 1 species